UACGUAGGGGGCGAGCGUUGUCCGGAUUUAUUGGGCGUAAAGAGCUCGUAGGUGGUUUGGUAAGUCGGAUGUGAAAUCUCCAGGCUCAACCUGGAGGGGUCAUUCGAUACUGCCAUGACUAGAGUUCGGUAGGGGAGUGUGGAAUUCCUGGUGUAGCGGUGAAAUGCGCGGAUAUCAGGAGGAACACCGGUGGCGAAGGCGGGUCUCUGGGCCAAAACUGACGCUGAGGAGCGAAAGCGUGGGGAGCGAACAGG
rnacentral:rRNA from 1 species